AGAAUAAGCACCGGCUAACUACGUGCCAGCAGCCGCGGUAAUACGUAGGGUGCAAGCGUUAAUCGGAAUUACUGGGCGUAAAGCGUGCGCAGGCGGUUCUGUAAGACAGAUGUGAAAUCCCCGGGCUCAACCUGGGAAUUGCAUUUGUGACUGCAGGACUAGAGUUCAUCAGAGGGGGGUGGAAUUCCAAGUGUAGCAGUGAAAUGCGUAGAUAUUUGGAAGAACACCAAUGGCGAAGGCAGCCCCCUGGGAUGC
rnacentral:rRNA from 1 species